CCUCUAGUGUACCUGUUGUGGCGCCAGCUGCAUUGCAGGGUAGCUACGUCUGGAAGGGAUAAGCGCUGAAAGCAUCUAAGCGCGAAGCCUGCCUCAAGAUGAGAUAUCCCUUAAGGGCCGUUAUAGACGAUAACGUUGAUAGGCUGUAGGUGUAAAGGCAGUAAUGUCAUAGCCGAGCAGUACUAAUUGCCCGUGAGCUUUUUUC
rnacentral:rRNA from 1 species